rnacentral:rRNA from 1 species
AACGCGAAGAACCUUACCUGGUCUUGACAUCCACAGAACUUAGCAGAGAUGCUUUGGUGCCUUCGGGAACUGUGAGACAGGUGCUGCAUGGCUGUCGUCAGCUCGUGUUGUGAAAUGUUGGGUUAAGUCCCGCAACGAGCGCAACCCUUAUCCUUGUUUGCCAGCGAGUAAUGUCGGGAACUCCAGGGAGACUGCCGGUGAUAAACCGGAGGAAGGUGGGGACGACGUCAAGUCAUCAUGGCCCUUACGAGUAGGGCUACACACGUGCUACAAUGGCGCAUACAGAGGGCGGCGAGCUAGCGAUAGUGAGCGAAUCCCAAAAAGUGCGUCGUAGUCCGGAUUGGAGUCUGCAACUCGACUCCAUGAAGUCGGAAUCGCUAGUAAUCGUGGAUCAGAAUGCCACGGUGAAUACGUUCCCGGGCCUUGUACACACCG